rnacentral:rRNA from 1 species
AAGGGAUCUUUAUGGCCACCUCCCACCCGUGACUAUUGUACCUUGUUGCUUCGGCGGGCCCGCCAGCGUUGCUGGCCGGCGGGGGGCGACUCGCCCCCGGGCCCGUGCCCGCCGGAGACCCCAACAUGAACCCUGUUCUGAAAGCUUGCAGUCUGAGUGUGAUUCUUUGCAAUCAGUUAAAACUUUCAACAAUGGAUCUCUUGGUUCCGGCAUCGAUGAAGAACGCAGCGAAAUGCGAUAACUAAUGUGAAUUGCAGAAUCCAGUGAAUCAUCGAGUCUUUGAACGCACAUUGCGCCCCCUGGUAUUCCGGGGGGCAUGCCUGUCCGAGCGUCAUUGCUGCCCUCAAGCCCGGCUUGUGUGUUGGGCCCUCGUCCCCCGGCUCCCGGGGGACGGGCCCGAAAGGCAGCGGCGGCACCGCGUCCGGUCCUCGAGCGUAUGGGGCUUCGUCUUCCGCUCCGUAGGCCCGGCCGGCGCCCGCCGACGCAUUUAUUUGCAACUUAUUUAUUCCAGGUGACCUCGGAUCAGUAGGGAACC